UUGAAACACCGCAUCUCGUACGAUCACCGAAGUUAAGCAAAGUCGAGCCUGGUCAGUACCUAAUCGAGUGACCGCUUGGGAAUGCCAGGUAUUGU